GUGGACUUCAUUCAUCAAAUCGGCGUACGCCGGCGCUGGCCGGCUAACUUCUAGAACCGGCGUACCACUUGUUUCGAUCCGAUUUUGCGCCGAAUAAUCAAGCCGGCGUAAGCCGAAUUCGCCGCUCUCGAUUGACCGGCGAGCGGGAAAGUAAAAUGGCCGACAAUGGCGCAAAUUUCUAGUGAUAUUGGAAGGUGGACCUGAUUUCUUUGCCAUACAAAAGCACCACAACAUAGCAUUGACAGUGUAACUGCACAAGAGAGUUCCAACCGCACAAGGAUCUUUGUGGAUGGUCAAUAUAGAAUCUACAUUAGAUGUUCAGAGUGCAGGCUAGUAUUUCAUGCAGACUGUGCUCAUUGUGAUCUUGAAGAUAUAAUAACAGGGGACAACCCGUGCAUUUGUGAUGUCUGCGCAAACAGAAUAUUGAAGCUGUGAACUCACUAAUUGGCGUUUUAAAAGACACCCUAAAAAAAUAAUAAUUUGUGGUGGCGCAAUCACUUCUUGUUUUAAGUUUAUUCAGCCUAAUGCCAUAGGACUUUAAAUGUUCUCAUGUUAUGUUUAACAUAUUGUUCAACAGUUGAUGUUAUCACAUACCUAAUUGAAGAAAGAUAUUUGACUUGUGAUAUGGCAUAUUAGCCAUGUGAAAUGACAUCUUAGACAUGUGUUAUGACAUUUUAGCCAUGUGAUAUGAUAUCUUAGUCAUGUCAUAAUACAUGUCUAAUAUGUAAUAUCACAUAUCUAAGAUGUCAUAUCACAUGACUAAGAUAUCAUAUCAUAUGACUAAUAUUUCAUAACACAUGACUAAGAUGUCAGGUCACAUGUAUAAGUUGUCAUAUCAUAUGACUACGAUGUCAAAUCUUCUGUCUAAGAUGUCAUAACACAUGACUUAGUUGUCAUAUCACAUUUCUAAGUAAACAUAUCAUAUGACUUAAGAUCUCAUAUCACAUGUGUAAGUUGUCAUAACACAUGACUAAGUUGUCAUAUAACAUGUCUAAGUUAUCAUAUGGCUAAGAUGUCAUAUCACAUGUCUAGGAUGUCAUAACACAUGACUUAGUUGUCAUAUCACAUGUCUAAGUUAGCAUAUCAUAUGUCUAAGAUGUCAUAUCACAUGUGUAAGUUGUCAUAACACAUGACUAAGUUGUCAUAUCACAUGUCUAAGUUAUCAUAUGGCUAAUAUGUCAUAUCACAUGUCUUGGAUGUCAUAACACAUGACUUAGUCGUCAUAUCACAUGUCUAAGUUAGCAUAUCAUAUGUCUAAGAUGUCAUAUCACAUGUGUAAGUUGUCAUAACACAUGACUAAGUUGUCAUAUCACAUGUCUAAGUUAUCAUAUGGCUAAGAUGUCAUAUCACAUGUCUUGGAUGUCAUAACACAUGACUUAGUUGUCAUAUCACAUGUCUAAGUUAACAUAUCAUAUGUCUAAGAUGUCAUAUCACAUGUGUAAGUUGUCAUAACACAUGACUAAGUUGUCAUAUCACAUAUCUAAGUUAUCAUAUUUUAAUCCACAAAAACUCUUUUUAACUUACAUUUGCGCCAUUGUCGGCCAUUUUACUUUCCUGCUCGCCGGUCAAUCGAGAGCGGCAAAUUCGGCUUAUCAUAUGACUAAGAUGUCAUAUCACAUGUCACGUCAUAACACAUGACUUAGUUGUCAUAUCACAUGUAAUGGUUAUCAUAUCACAUGACUAAGAUGUCAUUUCACAUGACUAAGAUGUCAUAGCACGUCUAAGUAGUCAUAUCACAUAUAUAAGUUGUCAUAUCAUAUGACUAAGAUGACAUCUUAGUCAUAUGAUAUGAUUACUUAGUCAUGUGUUAUGACAGGGUUUUUUCUUUAUCUUUUAAUAUUUUUAUUAUAACUUAACAUUGUCUUCAAAUGUUUGAUUUUCUUACCUUUGUGAUUGUAUCAGGGAUAUGUGCAGCGGCAGUUUAACAUAUAUUCAUCCACAGUUUUAAUAACCUGCCAUUGUAAUUUAGCAUUAGAGACUGUUCAGUUAGUAGGAAAUGAUUUCAUGGAACCAGAAAUUCUGAUAAGGAGGACUCCAGUUUAAAAGUUGUUUCUGUUACAGUUUAGAGGUUUGGGCUGUAUUAAUGCAAAGUGCCAUACGCAGCUGUAUUUUGUGCCCACAUGUUUCAAUUACUGUUUUUAUACUUCCACAAACGAAGUUUAGGGGGGUAUAUAGGAGUGAGCUUGUCUGUCGGUCGGUCGGUAUUGGUUAUCCGCUCUCUAAUUUAAGUAGUUUUCAUCCGAUCUUCCCCAAGUUUGGUCAGAAGUUUUAUCUAGAUGAUCUUGAGACCAAGAUCGAACAUUGGUCUUGCUGGGUCAAAAACUAGGUCACGGGGUCACUUAGUGUGUUUUAAACAUCGAGCAUGGUGUCCGCUCUCUAAUUGAAGUAGUUUACUUCCGAUCUUCACCAAACUUGGUCAGAAGUUUUAUAUAGAUGAUCUCUACGCAAAGUUCGAACAUGAGCCAUGGGUCACUUAGCGGUAGAAUGUUUUACACAUUAAGCAUGGUGUUCGCUGUCUAAUUCAAGUAGUUUUCAUCCGAUCUUCAACACAAUUGGUCAGAAGUUGUAUCAAGAUGAUGUGUAGGUCAAGUUCGAACAUGGGCCAUGCCAGGUCAAAAACUAGGUCACGGGGUCACUUAGUGUGUUUUAAAUAUUGAGCAUGGUGUCUGCUAUGAUUUUGUGAAGACACAUGCAAAAUAUUCUGUGUCAAUGCCACAUGUGGGGGUAUUCGUCACGUCUGUGACAAAGCUCUAGUUCUUUUUAGCUCACCUGAUUGCUCAGGUGAGCUUUUGUGACCGGGCCUUGUCCGUCCGUUCACAUUUAUUCGUAAACACUCUAGAGGGCACAUUUCUUUGCCGAUCUUCAUGAAACUUGGUCAGUACAUUGGUUUUAUUGAUUUCUCUGACAAGUUGGAAAAUGGCUGAGAGCGGUGUAACACACUUUUUAGCUCACCUGAUUGCUCAGGUGAGGUUUUAGGAUUGGUCUUUGUCUGCCGUCCGUCCGUCAACAUUUGCUUUGUAAACACUCUAGCAUUCACACUUCUUAAGCAUUCUUUAUGAAAGUUGCUGAAAGAUAUAGGUCAAGUUUGAUAAUGAGCAAAAUCACAUAAGUAAUGCCAUAAUUAUUGCCCUUAGAUUGCGUCCAAAAUAAUUGUAAACACUCUAGAGGUCACAAUUUUGUUUCAAAUUUUAUGAAUCAUGGUAAAAAAAUAAUUUCUAAGCAAAGUUUAAUGUUUGGCAAGGGAGGGGGGUCAACUCAAAAUAUAGGUCACCAGGUCAAAUCUCACAAAAACACCCCAUAAGCCAGAGUUUUGAUUCAAUAAUGAUGAAACUUGACCAUGGUGUUUGUCUGGACAAUAUCUAGGUCAAGAUUGACAUUAGGUAAAGAUUGAAUGAGCCAACUCCUCUCAGGUGAGAAAACUAGGGCCAUCUUGGCUCUCUUGUUUAUUUUACUGUGAUAUAUGAGGUACAUAUUGAUACAUGUGAUAUUUUUAUUUUACUGUGAUAUAUGAAGAACAUAUUGAUAUAUGAUUUUUAUUUUACUGUGAUAUAUGAGGAACAAAUUGAUAAGUUUUGUCAGACAGGUGUUUCAAACCUGCUGUCACAGGCAUGACAUAAUGAUAUACGCAUUAUACUCGUAAUAUGUUCAAUAUUUCGGAAAUAAACAAGUAAAACCAAA